UACGAAGGGGGCUAGCGUUGUUCGGAAUUACUGGGCGUAAAGCGCGCGCAGGCGGUCUUCCAAGUCAGUGGUGAAAGCCCGGAGCUCAACUCCGGAACUGCCAUUGAAACUGUAAGACUUGAGUACGAGAGAGGUGAGUGGAAUUCCCAGUGUAGAGGUGAAAUUCGUAGAUAUUGGGAAGAACACCGGUGGCGAAGGCGGCUCACUGGCUCGUAACUGACGCUCAGGCGCGACAGCGUGGGGAUCAAACAGG
rnacentral:rRNA from 1 species